rnacentral:lncRNA from 1 species
AAAAUAGGUAUUCAAAAUUUUUAUUUAUAAAAGUAGAUUUGAUAAAAACAGUAAAUUAUUUACUGCUUUCUAAAAAGGGUAAAUCAUUCACUACUUUUACUCUAAUACUUUAUAUGUUUUCUACAUUCAAACUUCAAAAGAUAUAUGUUAUUAAAUAUUAAAAAUAAUUUUAAUACUUUGAAGAAAGCGGUGAAUGAUUUACCAUAUUCAGAAAGCGCUAAUUCAUCACUAUAUAGACCUAAUUUUUUAAAAAAAAAAUCAAAAAAAUAUUUUUAUAAUUAUAGUAUUUUUUAAGUCUAUUUAUGAAAAUAAAAAAAAAAAAUUAACUCCAACACCCUACCCAGCUAAAUGGUCCCCACCUGACAUCGUGAAGAACAAAGAGAGAAAAAAAGGUACUUAAAAAUGUGCAGAGUUUACCUUAACUAUUAUCUAUUAUGAAUUUUAUUUUUGUUAUCUAAUUUCAAAAAAAAAAUUAUUGUCUAAUCUCUUAAUUUAUUUGAUUUAAGUCAACUAAUAACUCUUUAGCUUUAAAAUUUAAAUAUGUUCUUUAUCUUUAUAAAUUUAAUUAGUAUAUUUUAUAUAAUUAAUUAACUAUAAAUUUUUAAAAUAGGUAAUUAGUUUAUAUUUUGUAUGGAAAAAAUAUAAAAUAAUUUAAAUCAGAUAAAUUAAAAGAUUGAAUACGAAAAUCAAAAUUAUGAAAGGUUUUGAUGAUCAAACCAGAAUAAUUUAUAAUUUUAAUAAAUUUUACACGUUUUUACUUAAAAAAGGUAUUCCGCCCUUCCUAGAAGGCUAAUAUAAAAAAUAUUCUUUUAACAUUCUAAGCUCUUUCAAAUUAACAAUCAUUAUCUUCAUAAAAUUACUAUUUUAUCCUUUUAAAUAUACUCUUCUACCGCUACAAACUUUUCUUAUUUACUCUCAAGUUAUGGUUAGAAAAAGUAUUUUGAUUUUUUAUCCUUUUAAAUAUAUCUUUCUAUUGUCACCUUUUUUUAUUUUUUUUUAAGUUAGGAAUAAAUUAAAGAGGUAUUUUAAUUUUGUUUUUUACUUUGAUAUAAAUUUAACUCAACUUUAAUUGGAGAUGAGGAUACUAACAGUAAAAAUAUUUUUGAACAAAGAAAAGAAAUAUUGAAAAGGCAUGUGUGAAAUAAAAAAAAUAAAAAUCUAUAAAAUAUUAGGGAAACUUCAAAAAAAACCCCCUGUGGUUUCACUUUUCUUCACUUUAGUACCCUAUGGUUUAAAGUGUAUCAAGUUAGUACCCUUUGGUUUCACACUUUCUCACUUUAGUACCCUGUGGUUUAAAGUGUAUCAAGUUAGUAUUCUGUGGUUUUAUUUUUGUAUCAAGUUAGUACCCUGUGGUUAGGGGUGGCAAUCCAGCUCGCUAUUCGCGAGCCAACUCGUGUUCAGCUCGAAAUGAGCUCGAGAUCGAAUUGCUCGUUUAGUAAACGAGCCGAACAUGAGCUGAAUUUUUCGGCUCGUUUAAUAAAUGAGCCGAACACGAGUUAGGGUCAGCUUGCUCGUGUUCGGCUCGAUAACAGCUCGAAUACAUAUAUUUUAUAUUUAUAUAAUUUAUUUAAUUUAUAUUAUUAUAUAUAAAUAAAUAAUUAUAUAUAAUAUAUAUUUUUAUUAUUUAAUUUUUA